rnacentral:rRNA from 1 species
AUUGAACGCUGGCGGCAGGCCUAACACAUGCAAGUCGAACGAGUGGCGGACGGGAGAGUAAUGUCUGGGAAACUGCCUGAUGGAGGGGGAUAACCACCGGAAACGGUAGCUAAUACCGCAUAACAUCAGAUGUGCCCAGAUGGGAUGAGCGUGUGGGUGGGGUAACGGCUCACCAAGGCGACGAUCCCUAGCUGGUCUGAGAGGAUGACCAGCCACACUGGAACUGAGACACGGUCCAGACUCCUGCGGGAGGCAGCAGUGGGGAAUAUUGCACAAUGGGCGCAAGCCUUAUGCAGCCAUGCCGCGUGUAUGAAGCAGGCCUUCGGGUUGUAAAGUACUUUCAGCGGGGAGGCGUUACCCGCAGAAGAAGCACCGGCUAACUCCGUGCCAGCAGCCGCGGUAAUAC